rnacentral:piRNA from 1 species
UCCAUAAGUUUUCCCGACAAU